AGUUCCCAGGUGGACAGGCGAACCUCAUCAAUGCCCGCAGCUGCUCUAUCUGGGGCUGGGUCGGAGACCGUCUGGGACCCCAGAAACGUUCUGUUGAAGUGUCUCCCCUUUUCAGGGCCAAAUGGACAAAGAGAAAGGGAACCCGGUGGAGCGAGAGGGGAGGGGGCGGAGUCCCUCUACCCAUUCUCCCUGCACCGCAUCUGGGAACUCCAGCCUAGAUCAACUCACCCUGGAAGAUGACUGCUGAAGUCAGAAGUGAAUUCCUGGAUGCUUAAUGUGCUCAUACGGAGCCAAAUCCGCAUUGAUCGCUCACUAGUAAUAACCUGACUCACUACCCACAGAUUCAAGUCAUCUUCUCAUCGCCAAGUCCUGACGUUUGUGAACUGAAAGAAGAUAAUUAAAAUCUGUGUCUGCGUGCAUGCCCUCGUGUUGAUCCAAAACCCACCUUCCGUAUAUAAACAGUUUCCCAUUUA